UGCAGUUUGCGGGGGAACUCUUAUGAGUUGAGAAGGUAAAACCUGACCCUUUGAACCUGUCAGCUAACACUGGUGUAGGGAAGCGAAAAUUUUUAGAGA
rnacentral:ncRNA from 1 species